CCCCCAACCAAUCUUGCCCACACCGCAGAUGCCUCCUGCGCCCCCAAACGAUGGCGACAGGGACGCCGCCGCCCUAACACGCGCCUCCUUCCACCUCCCCCAGCUCGUCUUCCCGCCGACCACCGUGGUCGGGCUGCGGCGACCACCAGAGGUCCGCCGCCGGCAGGAGCUCCCUCCUUCUCCACUACGAGGCACCAGCAUAGGGGGACGACUCCUCCUUCCAUCCCUAGCCGCGGCGUCCAACCUCUAACGCCGCUUGAAACCCUAGCCCGAAUCCGGCAGAGGCACCUGAAGGAAGGGGCGGGCCAUGGAGAAGCUACAAGGUGUGGGCCUGAAGCCAUGGAUGGAUGUGUUUGGUAUGAGGAUAGCGGACGGCGAGGAGGCACCGAACCGAGCGGCGGGCAAGGACGAAGUGAAGCUGCGCGCACGGUCGUCCUAUCCCUCCUCCGCCUGCUGUUACUGGAAGCAAGCGCAGUACCAUCUCAUCUCAUCCACGAGCUAUUUUUGGCUUACAUGAAGGGAUGCAUGCUCUUCAUCUUGCAGGUAUGACUCAUCCCCGCAUUCUUACUUCGCCUUUGUUUCCUUCAGCUUCUUGAUCAUGAAAUUUUAAGAUAAAUUGACUCAGGGCAAUGGAUAAAAUCUAGAUGCCAAGUUGACUUUUUUCCUGCGGAUUUGCUUAUCGUGAAGAUGCACAAAGGUUUGAUAGCUCAAGCAUUGGAUGUUGGCAAAAUAGAAGUUCCUUCACCAAAGGAAGAAAGUAGUUCCACCGAUUCAGAAGCUAGUAGAGAUACUGAAAACUUUGACACUAGUGGCGAUGACGACAAUGAUCGUAAUCACAAGCACCGAAGACCAUUGCCAUGUUCUUGCAUACUAUAGUAUUAUCUCGAUCACAGCAUUGAAAUAGUAAGAUCUAUUACUUCACAUUUUCUGUAUCAUGAGAACCACGGCCGCGUUGUGCCAAUAUAUGUGUAGCCUUCAAAGGUGUCCUCUUAACUGUAGUUGCCGUUAAUGAUUUGAGUUGCAA